UAAACACAACGCUCCACAUAUCAGAAAUCAUCAAAGACAGCACAUGGAUUCAAAGUAGAGCGACUGAAUGAGGGAUGGAUAGAGAAAAAGGUUGAAGAGUUAGAGAGGGAGGGUGUGUGUGUGGGGGGGGGCACGACGCAGAGUGGCGAAUGAACACUGUGGUUUUGCGAGGUUGGCACAGUGCCAUCCACUCAGCGCCGGUGCCAAAGAGGGCGUGUAGGCAGGGUGGCACUACAGAAGAGAGAGGAGGAGAGACAGAUAACGAGAGAAAAGAGAGGCAUCAUCCUCCAAACGAAAUGUUCCCGAGCACUGGAUUCAAAAAGUUGGAGCUCUUUGAAGAUCCAUCCGCCAGCUCGUCAGCAUGGCAACUGUGCUUCGCCAUCCUGCGUUUCGCUGUCUCCUUCGUGACCGUGCCAGGCUCUAAGUAGGCACGUCCCCUAGAGAGUAAGCAGCAGAUGCCCCAAAGUCGAUGCCACUCAACGCGGGUACGAUGGCAUCUGCUCAGUCAUAAUGGAGAUAUGCGACAUGUCUUGUUACUCUCGUUGGCACGCGCCAACCUUCGGCAGUGUGCCAGGAUCUCUGCACUGCAGUAUGCCGCUGGGAAGUUGGCGGUGGCUUGGAAAUGGCAGAGUGCCAGCAUGUUCCUGCGGUAACCAGCCCCUGACGCAUGUCACUUGGCAAAGACAAAGAGCCCUAGGGACGAAACACAAAACAAGAUUGAAAAACACAGUGAUCCGACAGCUUAAUUAACACUCACAGAGUUUGUUGGGUUAAUUAGUGUGACAGAUUUGGUGAGGAGGAAUAUGGCAGGAACACUUGUGAGAACAAAAGUGAUGAGCAACCCAGACUGAUGGAAUGUCAUCGGAUGCCAUCAGUAACUCUGCCAACCCUGUGCCAAUGGCAUUUUACAUUCAACAAGGUUUGUAAAAGGAUAAAUGGAAUGAAAAGGAAAACAUCAAGAAACUGUCAUUCAAAAACAAGUUUGUUUCAAAUUUUGGACAAGACAGAAGAUUGAGGAAACAAGUGUGGAAACAAGCAAACAGGAAGAAGCUAAAGAAACCACAGGCCUUGACUUACCAUACAGUGACUCAACAGAUCAAUUCAAACACUAAAGUCAUUAUGGAAUAUGGAUUUUAUGUACUACAAAAACAAAACAGAAUGGUUUGCACAAAUGAACACAAGCAAGAGUGAAUUUUCUCUGGUACGUCGGGAACACCAAAAGGAUACAUGUUGGCGGGUGUUAGUAUGGUGAAAUUUACCAGGAGGAUGCACUACUUUUGCAAUUUUAUGGACCUACUAGAGCUUUUCAAAUCCAAGGACAGGACCUUAAACCAUCAUACCUGUAUACGCAGUAAUGAGUGAUUUUGUGCUUGAAUACCUGUUUUGAGGAUCCUCGAAACUUCCUGUUGAGUCAGGGAGAAGGUGAUGAGAGUGAGUGGAGAAUUCAGUCCCUCACUGGAUGUGUUUGACAUUGUAGAGGAGCAUAAAUAAUGCAGAUUGUCUCUCCUCCUCUUCCUUCUGGUGCUUUCUGAAGGAAGGGAUUUACACACCUUUGUGCUUCGAAUCUUUCAUUGGCAUUGUUCUCGUUAAAGCGACGCAGGAUUGGUUCCGAAACGGGCAUUGUUUUCAGCAUAACCUUCGAUAAACAAGUUCAAAUUAGACAUUAACAACCUCAUGAAAUGAGCCGAUUAAUUUGCGGGGGUUUUUUUCGCUUUUACGUCUUUCUUUGUACCGAUUGUGGACAAUUGUGUACGGAUAUGCUAAUCACGCUGUAUUAAUGAGGUUUGUAUCGCUGGGAUUCUCUUCUUUACUCCUGUGGGGAUCUUAAUUUUACCUCAUCUUUAUUAUGUAAAUGGAUUAUGCCCAAAAAAACUGCAUGAGCGCACACACACACACACACACAGACACUAACACAAAAGGGGAGCGUCAAAGGAAGAGGGAAUAUGGCAAGAGUGGAGGUGGGGGGGGGGGGUUGCAAGAAACUGCACAGAAUUCUGAAAGGAUCUUUCUCCUCAAUGCACCAUGUACCAAGACACAUGGCAAACGUUUUUUUUUCUCUCUCUCUUUCUUGUAGCUAUUUCUGCUGCAGUAGUCCUGCAAUGGAGUGACAGAGACGAAGAUGGGAUUUACUAGAUGUAAAGAGAGAAAAAGAGCAAGUGAGAGACAGAGAGAGAAUUCAUUAAUAUCCUGAGCUUAAUCAUGGCACAUGAGAUUGGCUGUAUGCAUACCUCAUUUGCAUCUCAUUAAAUUGCUCAUGCACCUGCAGAGAGAGGGAAGAGGGGCAGAGGACGGCACAACGAGAAAUGAGGGUCUUGUUUCAAUAUGCAAAAUGUUUCUUAAGCAGUUGCUUCAUUUUAUUUUGAAAUAUAUAUAUUUAUAAUUACAGUAUAAUGUGCAUUUAAAAGAAUGUUUUUUGGUUUUUUUUUUUUUUUUGAUGAUGCAUUCCAUUUUUCUAUUUACUUGCCAUAUUUUUUAUGAAUAUUAAAAAAUGCAUUUAUUUUCUUUCAUGAAUGAUCUACAUACAUACAUUAACAUAUACACAUUGUUUUAAUCACAUAAUGUACUUAUAUUCCAUGCCAAUGCUCUGUGACAUUUAACACUUAAAAGCACUCUUUGGGAAAAUAAAAAUGAGAUUUUAAGAUAUCGGUGCCUAAAA
ensembl:lncRNA